UAAAAGAAAAGACAAUGAAAGCGACACACCUGGGAUUCGAAGUGGUGACCUGCUGACAAGAAAGAAACAGAGGCGCUGGAAAAUAUUGGAAAAAGAAGCAAAAUUUCAGUGCUCUGGAGAGUUGAACCCGUGACAGGAAACAUGAACUAGAGGCCCGUUUCCACAUCUCUCCUAACUAGCGCCGUACCCGCGAGCCCAGAGCCGUGAAAGCUAUGUCUUUCAUUUCCUCUUUCCCUUCAUUUCUCAUGGAACUGAAACCCUAGCUUCUAUCAUCAACCCAGAACGUCAAAACAUGAAUCCAUCUCCAUCUCUGUCACAAACGGAACCCAGCCAUGGCGAUCUUUGAUUCUAGCCCAGAUUGUCACCAUCGUGCAUUCCUCUGCGAAAACCGAGACUUGGGGAUCCGAGUAAGGCCAAGGGGAAUAGAAACUGCAAGGAGCAAUGGCUCACAAUUGAAGGUGCUGUACACACAGCAAAGAUGGCUGCAAGAACUCGGAUCUACAAAAUGAAAGGUAAAUCAAAUCCCUCUACUGCGUUAAAAUUAAGCAUGGUUUAAUAUCUCUGAAAGUCAUACGGAUUUGUGAAGUGUUUCUGUCAUGCAUUUAUAGACCUAAAAUUUCGUCAAUGCUCAUGUAAUUUUCUGUGACAUGGCUUUGAUGAAUGCCCACCUCUGUGUUGCCUGGACCACCCCCAAACUAUGUGUAAAACAAUAUUUUAAUGAAAUAUGAGAGUAAGUGAGCGAAAGAUAAA